rnacentral:rRNA from 1 species
GACGAACGCUGGCGGCGUGCCUAAUACAUGCAAGUAGAACGCACAGUUUAUACCGUAGCUUGCUACACCAUAGACUGUGAGUUGCGAACGGGUGAGUAACGCGUAGGUAACCUGCCUGGUAGCGGGUGAUAACUAUUGGAAACGAUAGCUAAUACCGCAUAAUAUUAAUUAUUGCAUGAUAAUUAAUUGAAAGGUGCAAUUGCACCACUACCAGAUGGACCUGCGUUGUAUUAGCUAGUAGGUGAGGUAACGGCUCACCUAGGCGACGAUACAUAGCCGACCUGAGAGGGUGAUCGGCCACACUGGGACUGGGACACGGCCCAGACUCCUACGGGAGGCAGCAGUAGGGAAUCUUCGGCAAUGGACGAAAGUCUGACCGAGCAACGCCGCGUGAGUGAAGAAGGUUUUCGGAUCGUAAAGCUCUGUUGUAAGAGAAGAACGGGUGUGAGAGUGGAAAGUUCACACUGUGACGGUAUCUUACCAGAAAGGGACGGCUAACUACGUG